rnacentral:rRNA from 1 species
UACGAAGGGUGCAAGCGUUAAUCGGAAUUACUGGGCGUAAAGGGUGCGUAGGCGGUUGUUUAAGUCUGUCGUGAAAUCCCCGGGCUCAACCUGGGAAUGGCGAUGGAUACUGGGCAGCUAGAGCGUGUCAGAGGAUGGUGGAAUUCCCGGUGUAGCGGUGAAAUGCGUAGAGAUCGGGAGGAACAUCAGUGGCGAAGGCGGCCAUCUGGGACAACACUGACGCUGAAGCACGAAAGCGUGGGGAGCAAACAGG